GCUUCCAUGGUGUAGUUGGUUAUCACGUCAGUCUCAUAUUACUAAGUAUGAGGAGCAGCUCUCACUGUUCUGACAUCUGAAGGUCGCCAGUUCGAACCUGGCUGGGAGCA
rfam:Trichophyton interdigitale MR816 cont1.13, whole genome shotgun sequence.